rnacentral:rRNA from 1 species
AAUGAACGUUGGCGGCGUGGAUUAGGCAUGCAAGUCGUGCGAUAACCCCGCAAGGGGGGAAAGCGGCGAAAGGGAGAGUAACGCGUGGGUACCUGCCCCUUGGUCCGGAAUAGCUGCGGGAAACUGCAGGUAAUGCCGGAUAAUAUCCUCGGAUCAAAGGUGUGAUUCCGCCGAGGGAGGGGCCCGCGUUCUAUUAGCUAGUUGGUAGGGUAAUGGCCUACCAAGGCGACGAGGGAUACCGGGUGUGAGAGCAUGACCCGGCUCACUGGGACUGAGACGCUGCCCAGACACCUCCGGGUGGCUGCAGUCGAGAAUCUUCGGCAAUGGGCGCAAGCCUGACCGAGCGACGCCGCGUGCGGGAUGAAGGCCUUCGGGUUGUAAACCGCUGUCGUGGAGGAGGAAAUGCCAUGGGGUUCUCUCCAUGGUUUGACCUAUUCUAGGAGGGAGGACGGGCUAAGUUCGUGCCAGCCGCCGCAGUAA